rnacentral:rRNA from 1 species
UUGGAGGGCAAGUCUGGUGCCAGCAGCCGCGGUAAUUCCAGCUCCAAUAGCGUAUAUUAAAGUUGUUGCAGUUAAAAAGCUCGUAGUUGAAUUUCGGGGUCAGUAGGUUGGUCGUGCCACCGGUACGUACUGGUCUCACUGAUUCCUCCUUCCUGAUGAGCUGUAAUGCCAUUAAUUUGGUGUUGCAGGGAAUCUGGACUGUUACUUUGAAAAAAUUAGAGUGUUUAAAGCAGGCUAACGCUUGAAUACAUUAGCAUGGAAUAAUGAAAUAGGACGUUCGAUCCUAUUUUGUUGGUUUCUAGGAUUGACGUAAUGAUUAAUAGGGAUAGUUGGGGGCAUUAGUAUUCAAUUGUCAGAGGUGAAAUUCUUGGAUUUAUUGAAGACUAACUACUGCGAAAGCAUUUGCCAAGGAUGUUUUCAUUAAUCAAGAACGAAAGUUAGGGGAUCGAAGACGAUCAGAUACCGUCGUAGUCUUAACCAUAAACUAUGCCGACUAGGGAUCGGAUGA